rnacentral:rRNA from 1 species
CGGCGGACGGGUGAGUAACGCGUGGGUAACCUGCCUCAUACAGGGGGAUAACAGUUGGAAACGGCUGCUAAUACCGCAUAAGCGCACAGUACCGCAUGGUACCGUGUGAAAAACUCCGGUGGUAUGAGAUGGACCCGCGUCUGAUUAGCUAGUUGGUGGGGUAACGGCCUACCAAGGCGACGAUCAGUAGCCGACCUGGGAGGGUGACCGGCCACAUUGGGACUGAGACACGGCCCAA